GAUGAACGCUGGCGGCGUGCCUAAUACUUGCAAGUCGAGCGAACAGACGAGGAGCUUGCUCCUCUGACGUUAGCGGCGGACGGGUGAGUAACACGUGGAUAACCUACCUAUAAGACUGGGAUAACUUCGGGAAACCGGAGCUAAUACCGGAUAAUAUAUUGAACCGCAUGGUUCAAUAGUGAAAGACGGUUUUGCUGUCACUUAUAGAUGGAUCCGCGCCGCAUUAGCUAGUUGGUAAGGUAACGGCUUACCAAGGCAACGAUGCGUAGCCGACCUGAGAGGGUGAUCGGCCACACUGGAACUGAGAUACGGUCCAGACUCCUACGGGAGGCAGCAGUAGGGAAUCUUCCGCAAUGGGCGAAAGCCUGACGGAGCAACGCCGCGUGAGUGAUGAAGGUCUUCGGAUCGUAAAACUCUGUUAUUAGGGAAGAACAAAUGUGUAAGUAACUAUGCACGUCUUGACGGUACCUAAUCAGAAAGCCACGGCUAACUACGUG
rnacentral:rRNA from 1 species